GGAGGGGUGUCCGAGUGGUUUAAGGUAGCGGUCUUGAAAACCGCCUCUCGAUUAUGUCGAGACGUGGGUUCGAAUCCCACCCCCUCCGCCA
rnacentral:tRNA from 1 species